rnacentral:rRNA from 1 species
AUUGAACGCUGGCGGCAUGCUUUACACAUGCAAGUCGAACGGUAACAGGCCUUCGGGCGCUGACGAGUGGCGAACGGGUGAGUAAUGCAUCGGAACGUGCCCAGUCGUGGGGGAUAACUAUCCGAAAGGAUAGCUAAUACCGCAUACGAUCUGCGGAUGAAAGCGGGGGACCUUCGGGCCUCGCGCGAUUGGAGCGGCCGAUGUCAGAUUAGGUAGUUGGUGGGGUAAAGGCUCACCAAGCCAACGAUCUGUAGCUGGUCUGAGAGGACGACCAGCCACACUGGGACUGAGACACGGCCCAGACCCCUACGGGAGGCAGCAGUGGGGAAUUUUGGACAAUGGGCGCAAGCCUGAUCCAGCAAUGCCGCGUGCAGGAAGAAGGCCUUCGGGUUGUAAACUGCUUUUGUACGGAGCGAAAAGGCUCUCUCUAAUACAGGGGGCUCAUGACGGUACCGUAAGAAUAAGCACCGGCUAACUACGUGCCAGCCGCCGCAGUAAAAC